UCGCUAGAGAUAGCUUAGUGCCUUCGGGAACUCUGAGACAGGUGCUGCAUGGCUGUCGUCAGCUCGUGUUGUGAAAUGUUGGGUUAAGUCCCGCAACGAGCGCAACCCUUAUCCUUUGUUGCCAGCGAGUAAUGUCGGGAACUCAAAGGAGACUGCCGGUGAUAAACCGGAGGAAGGUGGGGAUGACGUCAAGUCAUCAUGGCCCUUACGAGUAGGGCUACACACGUGCUACAAUGGCAUAUACAAAGAGAAGCGAACUCGCGAGAGCAAGCGGACCUCAUAAAGUAUGUCGUAGUCCGGAUUGGAGUCUGCAACUCGACUCCAUGAAGUCGGAAUCGCUAGUAAUCGUAGAUCAGAAUGCUACGGUGAAUACGUUCCCGGGUCU
rnacentral:rRNA from 1 species